rfam:Emiliania huxleyi CCMP1516 EMIHTscaffold_392_Cont7360, whole genome shotgun sequence.
CUCUCGAUAGCUCAGUUGGCAGAGCGGGGGACUGUAGUGAAUGCCAUUCGGGGCAGUCGUAGCCAUCCCUAGGUCCGGAGUUCGAAUCUCUGUCGGGAGA